UCCAUCUCUCCCCCUUUCAUUCUCAGAUAACUCAGGCAUAAUGUCUUUGAAAAUUUUUCCUGAGGCUCGCCAGAAUACAUCAUCACUAGGAUGAGGCCCAGAUGAGGAGGUGCAUGGAGUAGAGGGAAUUACUGACACUUGUGGGGAGGAGCUGGAUUUUCUGCAUCUCUAAGUGGCCAGAGUCACUCCAGAGGUGAUCCAAAGUCACCAUCUGCUUUUGGGAAUGCUGUGACCUGGAAACCUUCUGCAGCAACAAGGGUGAUGUUUCAUCUUGGACCAUGUUUCUUGUACAACACGGUGGUGCAAGGCAGUGAAUACAAGGGACCAGGAAGAGAUGGGACUUGGGCACUGUGAUGCUGAAUGUUUCCCAGGAGAAAUAUACAAGGUGGAGUGUGGGGGGAUCAUAG
rnacentral:lncRNA from 13 species